AUCACGUGACGACGAGUCAUACCGAAAACACACGACACGUAAAAGAGAAAGAACGAUAUGGGGAUCUUCAGAUUGUAAGCGAGAUAAACGUCUCAGAGAAAGAUGAUUUCUCAGAGAAAACAGAAUCUAGUGAAGAUUGACCCAUAUAGGUCGCUCAUCAUUGAUUCUGGUAAUGUUGCAAAUCAAAUCAUGAAGAUCCUAGGAGAGGAGAAAGUGCAAAAUAAUAUGUGGGUGACAAGUAGAUAUAGGAGGAUGGAGAUAAAAGAAAAUAGCUGUAUUAUAUGAGUUUGCCAAAAAAAAAAACGGUAUUAUAUGAUUUUCUCGGGAUUUGCUGGAAUUAUCAGAGGAAGUGAAAGAAAACUCCGAAACGUCUGGUUACCCGGAAAGAUCGGAGAGGAUUCUUUUUCUUGUGCAACUAUCGAUCGGAGAGGAUAUAACCAAAGACUACUAUUUUCCUCUAAAAUUAAACAACAAUAAAAAAAAACAAAAUAAUUGUUUUUUUUCGUCGCUGUGGUUGGCCCACACGUGAUGAGUGAUUUUUGGAACAAAGUCGUUUUUGGAGUUAUCUUCCAGACGUGAACCACUAAUUCCUUGCCUAUCAAAGCACCUCAAUUUGUGGAACUGCUAACUGGAUUUGUUGUUUUCGCUAGCUAUAGAAGUUUAGAUAAAAAUAGAGGUUUUCUUUUUUACUUUUAUAGUUUUAUACAUGUCAAAGAUAAGUUUAGAAAUUGUAAUAAAUCAAGUGAUGAAUGUCCAUAACCGGCUCAUACUUAGAAUCGGCUCAUACCUAGAAGAGAGAUGGCCGAAACCCUAGAGAGAGACAAGAGAGAGAGGCGGCCGACUUAGGAGAGAGAGAGAGAGAUAGCCGACUUAGGGUUUCCAUAUUACUAGAUUUCAUUUUCCUUAUAUUUGUAGUUAUCCUAAAUCUAGAUGGAUUAGGAUUUGUAUAUUUUCCAUUUAUUUCUAUCUUGUAAUCCUUAUAUAAAUGAAGAUCUUCUGGCGUGGGUCUUCUUAGAUACUCAUCUCCAAAUAUAUUUAUGAUUCCUUGAACAAAAUGUUCCAAGCAUAAAAGCGCGGUGGUCUCACCAAGUCGGAGGUAUUCGUCGACGGCAUCAGCUGGGCAACCAUACGCCAUCAUACGGAUAGCUGUCGUUGCCUUUUGUAACGGAGAGUGACCGAACCUUCCAGUAGCAUCUCUUCUUUGUUGAAAGUAUGGGAUUUCAGCGGAGAGUCGACCAACAUGAGAAACAGCAUGAUAAGAAACAAAACUGACAGAGAGAUAGCAUGAUAAGAAACAAAACUAACGGAGAGAUAGCAUGAUAAGAAACAAAACUAACGGAGAGAUGGACAAUAUUAUACAUUAACCAGCAUGAUAAGAAACAUCAUUAAUCUUACAACAUUAAACAGCUAUUUUACAUUAAGAUAAGGCAAUUAUCUUACAAACUCGACACAAACAGCUCACAGAGACAACUAAAACACAACUAAAGACUCGACACAAACAAUUUUUGCUUGUUAAAUCCAGAUCAUACAGACGCAACUAAAGACUCAACAUAUCUUUAAUAAGUUUGUUUUUUAAGGCAAGUUCGAGUUCAGUUAAUGGCUCAGUCUUUGCAAUUAGAGAGUCAAGCAAUUUUUGCUUGUUAAGAGUAUCUUUUUGCUUGUUAAGAGUAUCUUUCAAAGCAAAGUCCUUCUGUCGAAUACCCCAGAUGCUCUGCAACUCCUUUUCUUCCUCAUCCAACUUCGUUGCAUUGAUCACAGCCCUUUUUCCUUUCGCCUUUGCCGCUUUAACUCCAAUAGGGCGCUUGGAUUGAUCAUCCUCUCCAGCCACAGAAGUUGAUGAUUGUGCAGAGUGCUCAUCUAACUUCCUCCUUUUUGACUGCACCUUAUCUUUAGUUGUAGAUGCGCCACACCAUUUCUGAUCGUGUCGCAGCUCCAACCAUGCGUGCUCAAGGGUAAACUUCGCCUUGUAGUCAUUGAAGUAAAUCUCAUGAGCCAGUUUCAUUACAUCAUUCUCGUUCUGGCCACUUGAUUUCUCUUUUGUUGCCGCAACAUAGCAGCCAACGAACUUGCAGACGCCCUCAUUGAUCUUCCCCCACCUUUGUUUGCAAUGAGUAGGCUCUCUCGUUUGCAAACCAGAUAGCUUGGGACUUGCAGCAAAAUAAGCUGCAAUGCGUUUCCAAAACGCAAUGGCUUUUUGCUCAUUCCCAACUACAGGGUCUUUGGAGGUGUUCAACCAAGCACUGAUGAGCACAUGAUCCUCUGUUGGUGUCCACUUCCUUCUCUCUUUACGGUCCUCCACAGUGGGGGCUUCAACGUUUUCUUCUUCAGACCAAGGACCGAACAAAGAGACAUUCGACGCAGAGAUAUCUACACUAGGUUGAGUGUUUGGUUGUUGAUGGUUUAAGAGAUCCAUAAAGCUAGAAGGUUGAGUAUAUGAAUCCAUAAAAUUGUUUAUGGAUUCAAAGGAAAUAGGAACGUUGUAAGGAAGUCGAAAAGGAGAAGUAUUUGAUUGUUUUACGUGUUGUUGUUUAGGAGUAUUGUUCAGAUUUUAAAGGAAACUUAGAAUUUUUAGUUUUUGAAGUUACUUACUUUGUGUGUUAAUGGCAAUCAAUGUUCAUACUUACAACUAAAAGAAACUACAACUAAAAGAAACACGACAACAAAGGCAAAUCACAUCCACACAACUAACAUAUACCAUUUAAUUUUCAAACCUAAGCUCUAACCAAUACCAUUUAAUUUCCAAUCCUAAUGAAGCUCUAAAAAAGCAUUAAAGACAAGUAUGCUAACCUCUUGCUGAUUGAAGUGAAAGAUGGAUCUUCUGGCCAUGUUGAAUCCGUAAUGAAUGAAAGGAAACUCUCCAACUGUCGGCUCCCGCUUCUUGAUGAUCACCACUCCUCACACAACCAACAAAAAUAGAAUUAUAUAAGCAAAGUAAUAAACCCUGAUCAAUCAAAUAUUUACACAGAUAACCGAACACAAAAUGAUAUGAAAAUAAAGACAAGAACAGCUUAGUGUGAUAAUGUGAAACACAAUUGACUCUGCUUCCAGACUAAUAGAGACAGUUCUUCCUAAAAUUCAUCAUCAACACUUGUUAUAACAAACCAACCGACUCUGUUUCUAUGCAAAGGAUUCAAUAUUUUCAACAGUCAAACAAAACUCUACUACCAAUCUAAUAGAUUUCACCUUCCUCAAUAUUAUCAAAUAAAUCACCACUGUUAUCAUCUUUUAAUAAAAGUUCUUUUUCAAAAGACAAAACUCUACUACCAAUCUAAUAGAUUUCGAACUUAUCUUGCUUCUUCUUCCAUCUUGUCUAAGUUAUAUCCUUCCCUCCAUCCUUGCUUUCUCUUCAAGCUUCAUCAUAACAGCGGAUCACGAGCAGAGAGUGUGAGAUAAACCAAAUUGGAGACAUAAGUAACAUAAAGAUCAAAUCAAAAUGACGAUUUCUUACCGAUAAGGAGACCGAGACGAGAUUUCAGACCAGAUUCGAGAGAGACGACGAGAAUCGACACGAGACAGACGGCGAGAGAGACGACGAGAAUCGAGACGAGAGAGACGGCGAGAGAGAUGACGAGAGAGACGACGAGAUUCAACACGAGAGAUACGACUAUACAGACGGCAAGAGAGACUACGAGAAUCGAGACGAGACAGAUGGCGACCGAGACGGCGAGAGAGACGGCGAGCUUCGAGACGAGAGAGACGACGAGACAGACGACGAUCGCCGAGAUGACAGAGUCGACGAAAAUCGACAGAUACGAAGAAAUUCAAGUGAGAAGACGAAGAAGUCGAGAAUGCAAACCAAAAGCCAUUCGGCUUUAUCGCGACGAAGGAGAGAGAGAGCAUUUGAUUUGCGGUCGAAUCACAAGCCGCCACGUAAGGACUUCCUAACUGCUCUAAAAAGCCCAAAUAAGACAGCGGUUCUAAAAUUUUUUGACCUUUUUUAUUUAUUUUUAAUUACCUUUUCUUAGGUGCCUGUUGUUAGGCACUCCCAAUGGACCUGCUCUAAAAAACCACUCAAAUCAAAACUAAAUCCAAAAAACAUCCAAGCAACGAACGAAUUGCAAACAUUAUAUUUGAAUCAAACAAAAUUAAAAGCAUAAAUACUGCUAUGUUUUUUUGGUUCUAUUCACAUAGCCACAUAAUUAUCAAAGUCAAAUACUGUAUAUAUUAAAUUAAAUACUACUAUAUUCUCACAAACUUCACAGAAUUUAAAAUUUUCCCGAUGACUCCGUAUCCCUCUGCGAGGGGCUUCUCCAAAAACCUGCCCCAUAAAAAUGUUCCAACAUUUCAUCCUCAAGCAUGAUAACAUCGUUUAGUUCGCAAUUCGCUUCGUUUUUCUCAAUAACAACAAUCUCAGCCGUUAGAUCUUCUUCCUUCAAUCUUGCAUGCACGGUGCUCUCUCUCCCUUUCGCCGCUGAUGAUGCAAGCAAACCAUGUCGUUUCAUCAUAAAACGUCGACGUUUGCUACGUUUCCACGCUUUCUUACAAACAGCCGCGGGAACCUUGUAAACAGCCAAAACAACCAAAUUAACCACAGCGCAAGGGCAGCAGCAGCACACCGCCGCGCACUCUGCCGCCGCUCCUCCCGCUACUUCUCCCACCUUCCUCCUCUCCGCGUGUUUGCUCAUCUUCGUUGUCAUGGGCGGAGAGCUUCUUUCUUCAGAUAUCAAUAUCACGUGACGACGAGUCAUACCGAAAACACACGACACGUAAAAGAGAAAGAACGAUAUGGGGAUCUUCAGAUUGUAAGCGAGAUAAACGUCUCAGAGAAAGAUGAUUUCUCAGAGAAAACAGAAUCUAGUGAAGAUUGACCCAUAUAGGUCGCUCAUCAUUGAUUCUGGUAAUGUUGCAAAUCAAAUCAUGAAGAUCCUAGGAGAGGAGAAAGUGCAAAAUAAUAUGUGGGUGACAAGUAGAUAUAGGAGGAUGGAGAUAAAAGAAAAUAGCUGUAUUAUAUGAGUUUG
rnacentral:lncRNA from 1 species